UCCGUUGUGUAUGGUCACGGAGUACAUGGAGAGUGGAGACCUGAAUCAUUACCUCUCCCAGAGAGUGUUACUGGACAAGACUGGACCUCUACAUAAUUCACCAACCAUCAGGAACACACGUACACACAUUUGUCAUGGUUAGGAAGAAUUAUCAAAAUACAGAAAAGAAAAAUCUCUCUCUGUCUCUUUCUGUCUCAGUUACCCAGCUUUGAUCUCCAUGGCGAGUCAGAUUGCAUCAGAGGAGAGGGGGAGGACAGAGGUGAAGAGCGCUAACUUUGGCAUGAGCAGGAACCUCUAUGCUGGCGAUUACUACAGGAUCCAGGGCAGAGCUGUGCUGCCUCUUCGCUGGAUGGCAUUGGAGUGCAUACUCAUGGGGAAGUUCACUGCAGCAAGUGACGUAUGGUCAUUUGUUGUGACGCUGUGGG